ACGAAAUGAAAGCAUGAAACGAGCGGAAAAGAGAAAUGAAAGAGGAAUGGAAAGGAAGAAGAGAAGAAUAUAGAAAAUGAAUGCUUUUUUCUCUUUCCUUUUUCCGUUUGUUUCAGU
rnacentral:ribozyme from 1 species